rnacentral:lncRNA from 7 species
UCUACAGGUUCCAGACAGAUAUGCAAAAUGCUUGUAAUGAAGCUGCAAGCCAUGUGAAAAAGGCGUGACAAGAUACUGUAUGUAGCAGAGAGAGGCUCCUGCUUCAAGAAGAAGAAAAAGAAGAGAGGGCAUACUCCCGGAGGCUGUUCAUCAGGAUUGGGUCUUGUAUGCUCAGGGAACACAAAGGAAGCAUCUUCAUGCUCAAUGUUACGACUGCCAUGUGGUCUGUCUGAGACUGAAGGUGCCCCUCAGCAGCUCUGGUAAUUUCAAAUGCAGCCUUGCAGCACAGUGAUUCUCCCUUUCUUUUUUCCACAUGGCUGCUUGGUUUGCAGAGGAUGCCUUCUUACAGAUGUGUUCCUUCCCGACAAACAAUUACCCCUGUUCCCCUCUGCAGGAGGCCAUUAGGACAUGAUCACGGGUUCUGCUAAGUCAUCUCACAAUCACAGUUCUGUGCAGUCGCCUCUCAUCUGAGUCUAUCGAGGCAUAUGCCGUGCGGGGAAACUAGCAGUCACAAAACGCAGCACCUCCAGGCAUAUUAUUUGUUAUUUUGGCCCAGGAGUGUGACAGAUAAUGGUUACUUUGUGAAGGUCUCAUUGACGGCAAUGCCUGGCAUCAUAUGCAGAAAAUGCGGAAAAGCCAGAAUGGGUGCUCAUGUCCCUACUUAAAUAGCAACAGAAUGAACAAUUUUGUAUUUUUCACUGCGGUUAUAAGCACUAAAAAGGGAGACCAAAAAGGUAAUGUUUGGGGAAUUAUUCUGCUGAAUAGACCCAGGAAACUAAACUUACGUUGCAUCUGUUCUUUAUUACUUAUUGUUUAUGAGCUGUGUGUACAAAGUGCAAAUGUGUCAAUAAUUUGCUUUGUAUUUAGCUUGGUUAUCAUAACGGAGCUAAGCAUCUAACAUGAUUUUACUAACGAAAUACCGUAAAGCUAUAGGCAUUUCUAAGCUUGCAAUGUGCUGAUUAUUAGGAGAUACUCCCUAAAAUCCUGAUGUAGCAGGUGGAUCCUCCCAUGCUAAAUUGACAGCAGCAGAGAGCUCCAUUACUGAUAUACUGCUUGAGAACGUGUUCACACUUCUCCCCUAGCUGUUCACACACUUCUCUUGUUUAAAAUAUCCUUAAUUAAACGGUAUGAUUUUGAGGAUUGUGUUAGACAACAAAAUAAAUACACCCCAAACUGAGUUAUUUCUC